UACGAAGGGGGCUAGCGUUGCUCGGAAUUACUGGGCGUAAAGCGCACGUAGGCGGCUUUUUAAGUCGGGGGUGAAAUCCUGGAGCUCAACUCCAGAACUGCCUUCGAUACUGGAAAGCUCGAGUCCGGGAGAGGUGAGUGGAACUGCGAGUGUAGAGGUGAAAUUCGUAGAUAUUCGCAAGAACACCAGUGGCGAAGGCGGCUCACUGGCCCGGUACUGACGCUGAGGUGCGAAAGCGUGGGGAGCAAACAGG
rnacentral:rRNA from 1 species